rnacentral:rRNA from 1 species
GAUGAACGCUGGCGGCGUGCCUAAUACAUGCAAGUCGAGCGAACGGACGAGAAGCUUGCUUCUCUGAUGUUAGCGGCGGACGGGUGAGUAACACGUGGAUAACCUACUUAUAAGACUGGGAUAACUUCGGGAAACCGGAGCUAAUACCGGAUAAUAUUUUGAACCGCCUGGUUCAAAAGUGAAAGACGGUCUUGCUGUCACUUAUAGAUGGAUCCGCGCUGCAUUAGCUAGUUGGUAAGGUAACGGCUUACCAAGGCAACGAUGCAUAGCCGACCUGAGAGGGUGAUCGGCCACACUGGAACUGAGACACGGUCCAGACUCCUACGGGAGGCAGCAGUAGGGAAUCUUCCGCAAAGGGCGAAAGCCUGACGGAGCAACGCCGCGUGAGUGAUGAAGGUCUUCGGAUCGUAAAACUCUGUUAUUAGGGAAGAACAUAUGUGUAAGUAACUGUGCACAUCUUGACGGUACCUAAUCAGAAAGCCACGGCUAACUACGUG